CCUAACACAUGCAAGUCGAACGGUAACAGGAAGAAGCUUGCUUCUUUGCUGACGAGUGGCGGACGGGUGAGUAAUGUCUGGGAAACUGCCUGAUGGAGGGGGAUAACUACUGGAAACGGUAGCUAAUACCGCAUAACGUCGCAAGACCAAAGAGGGGGACCUUCGGGCCUCUUGCCAUCGGAUGUGCCCAGAUGGGAUUAGCUAGUAGGUGGGGUAACGGCUCACCUAGGCGACGAUCCCUAGCUGGUCUGAGAGGAUGACCAGCCACACUGGAACUGAGACACGGUCCAGACUCCUACGGGAGGCAGCAGUGGGGAAUAUUGCACAAUGGGCGCAAGCCUGAUGCAGCCAUGCCGCGUGUAUGAAGAAGGCCCUCGGGUUGUAAAGUACUUUCAGCGGGGA
rnacentral:rRNA from 1 species